CUCCUUUCUCUCAACUGGUCAUUUUGCUUGCUUUCUCAGGUUUUAGCUCCAUGCUCUGUUGCUGAGACUGCUCCACUCCACGAGGGACCCCACCCAUCUACCUAGGAGAUUGCACUGUCGGUUCAGGAGUCACCAGCGAUGGGAGCUGGGCCUAGCCUCACAUCUGGUAGACCUUGGAAGCCUGCUGAAUCACUGUGUGUUAAUGGCACAAACUUACUCUUCUACCGAAUGUGUCUGGGGUUAAGUAAGGAGUCUGGGGAAGAUGUGGCCAGACUCUGAAGCUGAGAGAGCAGCCUUUAUUGAUGAAAACAGCUGCAAUUUCUCCUUCCAUGGUGUGCACAGAAACAUCACCUGUUCACAGAAGUUUGGCCACUGCUCUCACAUUGCAGAGAAGGAAAACGAGGCUUAGGAAAGCCGGACACCUGCAAACCUAAGCCCCUCAUCAUGAGGCGGGUUUGAGUCUGCGUCACCGAGUCCCUUAGUCAGUGUGGAUUCUUCUAUAGGAUAUCCUUCAGCGUUGUGAGGGCUGUGCCCAUCAAUCCCAUUUCGUCUGCCAACCCAGGGGAAAAACUUACAGAAGAUGAAGUUGCAACCAGAAAGGUGGUGUUUUGGUGAUGAUGAAAACGUCAAUCACAUUAAGAUUUCUCUUCAGGAUCACCACUGGCAGCAUCCUCCGCACAGGGCUGGCGUCAUGCUGAGGAGCUCACCAUGCUGAUUUUCAUGUUUUUCUGUCACUUGACUUUCUUUGAGACACUUUGUCAAAGUGACACUUGAGGCACCCCCACUGUCCUCAUGUAGACAUCCUGAUCUCUUGUGAGAAGAGUGAACAGAGGCUCCGAGAAGGCAGCAGCUAACCCUGGGUGAAGGGGGCUGUGAUCAUUAGCACUCCCCUUGCUGAGCUUGCUGGUCUGAUGUGCAUGCCUGAAGACAGGAAAGGCAGCCUGUUUCAAGCUCUUCCCUACGGAUUGCUGCAGUCAAUGAUUCUUCGUGCAUUUUCAGUGGCUUGUGGGCCAAUUAUCACACAGCUCCUGCACCACACUGUGCUGGAACAGCAAUUAACAAGACCUCCUGGGUCUCAAAAAGGCUUUGGAAGAAUCAAAGCACAUGUGGACAAAUGACCUAUAAUCAAAUGUACCUCCACCAUUGGUCCUCUGGCUGGCCUGCAGUACAAAGACUUUCAGCUCUGGAUUUAAAAACCUGGGACUUCUAUUUGGAUUUUGAAGUUUAGCUACCUGAGGAAAUUUUAAUAGGAGAGCAAUGAAAACUUUUUUAUUUUAUUUUAUUUAUUUUGUUUGACUUGUUUUUUAGAGGAUAAGUCCAUGCAUAUGUUUGUGUAUUGUGUGUGUGUGUGGGGGGUGUAAGGCAAAAGACAACUUGCAAAAGUAAGUUUUCUCUUUCCACCGUAUGGGUCCUGGAGAUUGAGCUCACGUUGUGAAGUUUGGCAAUGAGCGCCUUUGCCAACUGAGCCAAUUUUGCCAGACUAUGAGCGAGCUUCUUAUGUCUUAUUUUGUAUGUCAAAGGAGAGCCAUGAAAUAAUGAGAGAGUAAAGAAUCCCAUGUUCUGAGCACCCACUGUAUCCCAGGCAUCUAUUCAUUGUCUCAUUUACCUGCACAGCAAGUCUGCACACCAGGCAUCGUUACCCUCCACACAUCAAACCAAGGCUUCCGGACAUCUGCUAGACUGCACACAAUCCAGUCCUGUUUAUCUCUGGAUGGUUCUAGAAUGCAACUUCUCUCCAUAAAACGGGACUGUAGUUCAGGGCCUUUGUAUCACACUCUGGUUCAUAGAGCUGUGAUGGAAGUCCAGCCAUCUCUUGGAAAAUUCUGACUCAGAAAGGAUGCAAAACAUUUAAGGAAUCCAAAUGAUAAGACUCUGGUCUUUUGGUUCUUCCAGAGGUGGGAGUUAGGCAUUUUUAGCCGAUGGUGAAGCUCUGGGUUUUAUUUCCAACUGUGUGAUCUUGUAUGUUGAGAAUGACUGUAACGGUGUAAUACUAAGGCCUUCUGACUUAGGUGAGGGCUUUCUAGCAUCUUCUAGAGUCUGAGGAUUGGUAAUACAGAGAAGAGAAAGGGAAAAGACAGAGCAGUCUUGUU